rnacentral:lncRNA from 1 species
GGUCGAUCUGAGAACAAUGACACCGGUGCGCGCGUGCACGUGAAGAGUCCAUUUUCUUCUUUCAGUCUUUGAACGAAAACAACGUCUCCUGGUUGGAAUAUUAUCGCUAUUUUAUGAGAAAAAUCCCAUAAAAAUUGAUUUUAAACAGCGUUUGACAUGCUUCGAAGUACGGUAAUGGAAUAUUUUGAAUUUUUUGUCACGACAUGCGUCCGCGCGUCACAGUUCAGAUAGGGACCUGAACGCACGGACAAAAUAGAGGAUAUUUGAACACAACUAAGGAUUAUUUUGAACCAAAACAAAAUUUGUGGUUGAAGUAGAAGUCCUGGGAGUGCAUUCUGACGAAGAACAGCAAAGGACCUGAGCCCUAGGACCAUGCCUCAGGACUACCUGGCUUGAUGACUCCUUGCUGUCCCCAGUUCACCUGGCCGUGCUGCUGCUCCAGUUCCAACUGUUCUGCCUGCAGCUAUGGAACCCUGACCUGUUCACCGGACGUGCUACCUGUCCCAGACCUGCUGUCCCAGACCUGCUGGAACCCUGACCUAUUCACCGGAUGUGCUACCUGUCCCAGACCUGCUGUUUUCAACUCUCUAGAGACAGCAGGAGCGGUAGAGAUACUGUCAAAGAUCGGCUAUGAAAAAGCCAACUGACACUUACUCUUGUGUUACUGACUUGUUGCACCCUCGACAACUACUAUGAUUAUUAUUAUUUGACCAUGCUGGUCAUUUAUGAAGAUUUGAACAUCUAGGCCAUGUGCUGUUAUAAUCUCCACCCGGCAGAGCCAGAAGAGGACUGGCCACCCCUCAUAGCCUGGUUCCUCUCUAGGUUUCUUCCUAAGUUUUGGCCUUUCUAGGGAGUUUUUCCUAGCCACCGUGCUUCUACACCUGCAUUGCUUGCUGUUUGGGGUUUUAGGCUGGGUUUUUGUACAGCACUUUGAGAUAUCAGCUGAUGUAAGAAGGGCUAUAUAAAUAAAUUUGAUUUGAUUUGACCAUCGGGUUCUUGGUCACCUCCCUGACCAAGCCCCUUCUCCCCUGAUUCUUCAGUUUGGCCACUGUGUUUUGAAGGACCUUCAAUGCUGCAGAAAUAUUUUGGUAACCUUCCCCAGAUCUGUGCCUCAACACAAUCCUGUCUAAGAACUCUACAGACAAUUCCUUCCACCUCAUGGCUUGCUUUUUGCUCUGACAUGUAUUGUCAACUGUGGGACCUUAAAUAGACAUGUGUGUGACUUUCCAAAUCAUGUCCAAUCAAUUUAAUUUACCACAGGUGGACUUUAAUCAAGUUUUGGAAACAUCUCAAGGAUGAUCAAUGGAAACAGGAUGCACUUGAGCUCAAUUUCUAAUCUAUUAACAAAGGGUCUGUAAACUUAUGUAAAUAAGCUAUUUCUGUUUUUUAUUUUUCAUAAAUUUGCUGUUUUCGCUUUGUCGUUAUGGGGUAUUCUGUGUAUAUUGCUGAGGAUUUUUUAAAUUAUUAUCCAGAAUAAGGCUGUAAUGUAACAAAAUGUGGAAAAAUACUUUCCGAAGGCACUGUAUAUUUGGAAAAAAUGUGCUCGUCCUAAUAUUGAUAUAUUUCUCAAUUCCAUUAUUUUACUUUUAGAUGUAUGUGUAUUGUUGUGAAUUGUUAGAUACUACUGCACUGUUGGAGCUAGGAACAUAAGCAUUUCGCAACCCCCCCAAUGACAUCUGCUAAAUUUGUGUAUUUGCCCAAUAAAAUGUGAUUUGAUUUGAAAAAACGUCAAUAAUUGAUUAUCUUUUGGUGUAUUGAUCCAACUCCGGUCUUUUAUACAUGGGUCUUAACCAGGCCCAUAUUUCACUUAACAAC